GACGAACGCUGGCGGCGUGCUUAACACAUGCAAGUCGAACGGUGAAGCGCCUUCCUUUUUGGUGGGUGUGGAUGAGUGGCGAACGGGUGAGUAACACGUGAGUAACCUGCCCCCUUCUUCUGGAUAACCGCAUGAAAGUGUGGCUAAUACGGGAUAUUCUGGGUCUGUCGCAUGAUGGGUCUGGGAAAGAUAUUGUUUCGGUGGGGGAUGGGCUCGCGGCCUAUCAGCUUGUUGGUGGGGUGAUGGCCUACCAAGGCGGUGACGGGUAGCCGGCCUGAGAGGGUGGACGGUCACAAUGGGACUGAGACACGGCCCAGACUCCUACGGGAGGCAGCAGUGGGGAAUAGUGCACAAUGGGCGCAAGCCUGAUGCAGCGACGCCGCGUGAGGGAUGGAGGCCUUCGGGUUGUGAACCUCUUUCGCCAGUGAAGCAGGCCUGCCUCGUUUGUGGGUGGGUUGACGGUAGCUGGAUAAGAAGCGCCGGCUAACUACGUG
rnacentral:rRNA from 1 species